rnacentral:lncRNA from 1 species
GGCGCGAUGGAGCACACACUGCGGGCUCUAGUCUGUCAGACUGGAGUAUGCGUUGCAGGAAAUAUCGGAGCACGCACUGCGGGAUAUAUCGCAGGCUACCUUAUUGGUGGAAUAGAGAGCACGUCGCGAGAUGGUACUAUUUUGGACUUCUAAAUAUGCCCUUAUGCUGAUCCAAAAAUUCCGAAACUCACUUGAGAUGUACCUUUGACAUCCC